CGGGUGGUGACUAAGGUUUAAAGCGCGGAUGCAUUGGAAGCAUCUGUCAGCAGGUUCGAUGCCUGCUCACCCGA
rnacentral:tRNA from 1 species